rnacentral:rRNA from 1 species
AAUGAACGCUGGCGGCAGGCCUAACACAUGCAAGUCGAACGAAGCCUUCGGGCUUAGUGGCGGACGGGUGAGUAACGCGUGGGAACAUACCCAAAGGUACGGAAUAGCCUCGGGAAACUGGGAGUAAUACCGUAUGUGCCCUUUCACUGUAGUGGUGGGAGGGGAAAGAUUUAUCGCCUUUGGAUUGGCCCGCGUUGGAUUAGGUAGUUGGUGGGGUAAUGGCCUACCAAGCCGACGAUCCAUAGCUGGUUUGAGAGGAUGAUCAGCCACACUGGGACUGAGACACGGCCCAGACUCCUACGGGAGGCAGCAGUGGGGAAUCUUAGACAAUGGGCGCAAGCCUGAUCUAGCCAUGCCGCGUGAUCGAUGAAGGCCCUAGGGUUGUAAAGAUCUUUCAGAUGGGAAGAUAA